AGUAUUAAAGGCAACGCCUGCCCAGUGAACAAUUAAACGGCCGCGGUACCCUAACCGUGCAAAGGUAGCGUAAUCACUUGUCUAUUAAUUGUAGACCUGUAUGAAAGGCAAAAUGAGGGCCUAACUGUCUCUUAUAAUUAAUCAAUUAAACUGAUCUCCCAGUACAAAAGCUGGGAUAUACACAUAAGACCAGAAGACCCUGUGAAGCUUUAACUAAACUAUCAAACCACAUGAUAGCUAGUUUCGGUUGGGGCGACCUUGGAAAAAAAAAGAACUUCCAAACACAACGGGCUAAACCCCUUAAACUAGGCCGACAGGCCAAACAACGACCCAGCACCGCUGAUUAAUGAAACGAGUUACUCCAGGGAUAACAGCGCUAUCUUCUUCAAGAGCCCAUAUCAAAAAGAAGGUUUACGACCUCGAUGUUGGAUCAGGACAUCCUAAUGGUGCAGCAGCUAUUAAGGGUUCGUUUGUUCAACGAUUAACAGUCCC
rnacentral:rRNA from 1 species